rnacentral:rRNA from 1 species
AUUGAACGCUGGCGGCAGGCCUAACACAUGCAAGUCGAACGAGUGGCGGACGGGUGAGUAAUGUCUGGGAAACUGCCCGAUGGAGGGGGAUAACUACUGGAAACGGUAGCUAAUACCGCAUACCAUCGGAUGUGCCCAGAUGGGAUUAGCUAGUAGGUUGGGUAACGGCUCACCUAGGCGACGAUCCCUAGCUGGUCUGAGAGGAUGACCAGCCACACGGGAACUGAGACAGGGUCCAGCGUCCGAGGGGAGGCGGCAGUGGGGAAGAUUGUAAAAUGGGCGCAAGCCUGAUGCAGCCAUGCCGCGUGGAUGAAGAAGGCCUUCGGGUUGUAAAGUACUUUCAGCGAGGAGGCGUUACUCGCAGAAGAAGCACAGGCUAACUCCGUGCCAGCCGCCGCGGUAAUAC